rnacentral:rRNA from 1 species
CGUUUAGGGGUAAACCUGAGAAACCCGAAAGGUCGAAGGGAGAAAUUCAUUCGCGUCUCGCUGACGACGUCGGACGUUAUUGCGACGGUGUACGUUCGCGUACGUCCGCGCUUUUCGCUCGACGAGUCGAUGGCGAACGCGUGCACUUUUCUCCUGGUAGGACGUCGCGAUCCGUUGGGUGUCGAUCUACGAUGCAUGGUGGAGCCCGUAGGCGGCGUUUUGGCGCUUGUCCACGGACCCGUGUUCUCUGAUCGACUCGCUCGACGGUAUACAAACGGUUGGGGGCCGCUUUUUAGCGUCUGACCGGAGGCAAGCACGUCGGACUGUUGGCGAUCGGACCUAGUGCCGAUUCCGACACCCGUCGACUGUUAGCUGUCGUGUUCUUGGACAGACCCCCUUUAAUAAAAACCGAUCUGCGACGCUAUAGCUUUGGGUAAUUUCAGGACCCGUCUUGAAACACGGACCAAGGAGUCUAGCAUGUACGCGAGUCAUUGGGAAUCAAUAAACCUAAAGGCGAAAUGAAAGUGAAGAUCUUCCUCGCGAAGAUCGAGGGAAGAGGGUUGGUGUCCGUCUCAAAACGGCCUAUCUCGCAUUCCCGGGGCGUCUCGUUCUCAUUGCGAGAUGAGGCGCACCAAGAGCGUACACGCUGGGACCCGAAAGAUGGUGAACUAUGCCUGGUCAGGAUGAAGUCAGGGGAAACCCUGAUGGAGGUCCGUAGCGAUUCUGACGUGCAAAUCGAUCGUCGGAACUGGGUAUAGGGGCGAAAGACUAAUCGAACCAUC